rnacentral:rRNA from 1 species
CAUGUAGGCGGAGUGGUCAGUCAGUGGUGAAAUCUCCCGGCUUAACCGGGAGCCUGCUACUGAUACUGCCAUUCUUGAGUUCGGAAGAGGGAAGUGGAAUUCCUGGUGUAGCGGUGAAAUGCGUAGAUAUCAGGAAGAACACCAGUAGCGAAGGCGGCUUCCUGGUCCGAUACUGACGCUGAGAUGCGAAAGCGUGGGGAGCAAACA